UCAGGCCUAACACAUGCAAGUCGUACGAGAGUUUUUAACUCUAGUGGCGGACGGGUGAGUAACACGUGAGAAUUUGCCUUUAGGAGGGGGACAACAAUUGGAAACGAAUGCUAAUACCCCAUAUGCUUUAGAGUGAAAUGGAUUUUAUCCGCCUAGAGAGAAGCUCGCGGCUGAUUAGCUUGUUGGUAAGGUAAGAGCUUACCAAGGCGACGAUCAGUAUCUGGUUUGAGAGGACGAUCAGACACACUGGAACUGAGACACGGUCCAGACUCCUACGGGAGGCAGCAGUGGGGAAUUUUCCGCAAAGGGCGAAAGCCUGACGGAGCAAUACCGCGUGAGGGAAGAAGGCCUAUGGGUUGUAAACCUCU
rnacentral:rRNA from 1 species